UAGGGAAUCUUCGGCAAUGGGUGGAACCCUGACCGAGCAACGCCGCGUGAGUGAAGAAGGUUUUCGGAUCGUAAAGCUCUGUUGUUAAGGAAGAACGAGUGUGAGAAUGGAAAGUUCAUACUGUGACGGUACUUAACCAGAAAGGGACGGCUAACUACGUGCCAGCAGCCGCGGUAAUACGUAGGUCCCGAGCGUUGUCCGGAUUUAUUGGGCGUAAAGCGAGCGCAGGCGGUUAGAUAAGUCUGAAGUUAAAGGCAGUGGCUCAACCAUUGUAGGCUUUGGAAACUGUUUAACUUGAGUGCAGAAGGGGAGAGUGGAAUUCCAUGUGUAGCGGUGAAAUGCGUAGGUAUAUGGAGGAAAACCGGUGGCGAAAGCGGCUCUCUGGUCUGUAACUGACGCUGAGGCUCGAAAGCGUGGGGAGCGAAGAGG
rnacentral:rRNA from 1 species